UAUUGCUAAUUGAAAACUUUUCCCAAUACCCCGCCAUGACGACUUGAAAUAUAGUCGGCAUUGGCAAUUUUUGACAGUCUCUACGGAGA
rnacentral:snRNA from 1 species